rnacentral:misc_RNA from 1 species
UAUACUUUAUGUUAUGUCUAAUCUCUCAAACUAGCGUAGUAAUAGUAUUGCUUAGAUGAUUUCUAUUUUGUAUUCCUCUCAUCAAUUUUUCACAAUCCUAAUGGUUACUGUUACGGAAAUAGUUGGGGAUAGUUGUAAUUUAGCUGGCAAUGCAAGUGUCAAGCCCAUGUGUUCUAAUCCUCGGCUCUGAAUAUACGUGAUAUAUAUAUAAACAAUUCUAUUUUGAAUCUAAGAAAAGUAAUGAAAUUCGUGAGACAAUGAGCAAAAUGUCAGAAUCAACGAGUAAUCUACAACGCCUAUCCAGCAUGCCGGAGAUAAUGGAUUUAGUCAAACUUCUUCGUCAAAAUGGUGAUAAAGUUCUAAGUGCAUCGAGCAAGUUAUCUUUAUCUACUACAUUACUUUAUAACUUAAAUGAAGCAUUUUCAUUGAUCGUGGACGAUGCUGAAGAUUUGAAAUCUUCAUUUCAAGUUUGCAAUAGUUCCAAAAUAGACUUAUUUAGAGAUUUGAAAUUUUUGCAUGACUUUGUACAGAAAACAAUCGGUCUAAAGCUGACUCAUUACUCGGCGGCUAAUGCCAAAGUACAUGUUGAUAUUACCAAAUUUAGAAGCUUGAAAUAUUUGGAGUUAAAAAAAGUUAGUAUUAAUUUAGUAAAAGGAAUACAAGGAAUAAGAGGCCAAUUAGAAAGCAUUACGUGUGCUGGAAGACAGGGCAUUACUACUGUAGCACAAUUAUUAGCGACGUGUGGUGGAGAUGCCGGAGCAGGAUUCGUUUGGGGUUCCUUGAGGCACUUAUCAUUGCCUCACAAUGCUCUAGAACAAUUAGACAGAUCUUUUGAACUUACGCCAUGGCUACAAAUAUUAGAUUUGAGUCAUAAUUUACUAAACAAUGCAGGAGAACUCGAUUGCUUGCCUAAUCUAAAAUAUCUUAAUCUCGGAUAUAACAAAUUGGAAACGGUUCCUGCUUUUAAUAAAUCGACAAUGCAUUCUCUUCAAAUAUUAGUUUUAAAAAAUAAUUUCAUCGAAGAUAUCAGUGGCUUACAAGGAUUGGAGUGUUUAACGGAGAUUGACUUGUCAUUCAACUGCUUAACGGAACAUUCUGUCUUGUGGCCUAUCGAAAGGAUGUCAGCAUUGCUAUGGCUAUCUUUGGAAGGAAAUCCAUUGUCAUAUCAUCCAAAACAUAGAUUGUUAUCCAUUAAACAUUUACAUCCAUGUUUAAUCGAUAACAAGUUUGUCUUAGAUCAUUGGCCAUUGUCAAAAUCGGAAAGACUGCUUGUAGAAGACAACCGUGUUUUUCCAAUUAGAAACAUGCAGUCUAGCGUAUCGAGAGACAAUUUUGUUUCUUUGUCAGAUUCAACUACUUCCAAUAAUACAUUUUCAUCCAAUGACUCUUAUGUUUCUAAAGAUUUCUUAAUAAAAACCCCCCAGACUUCCAAUAUAAACGCUAGAGGGGAGAAAAAUUUUACCGCUGUAGGAAAAAGUAGAAAAAAGACAAACGUAAAAGAAGCUGUUAUCGCGGAAGAAGACCAGGAAAAAAAGGAUUCCAUGAAUAAAUCGGAAGUAUUAUCUUCUUCGCACUUAGAAACGAAGAAACAAAUAUUGGCAUUGCGAGAGAAAUUUGGCAAAGCAAACUGGCUAAGCAGUCAAGCUGGGACCUUCGUUCAAGAUAUUAUGGGUUUGCAAUCACCAUCACCUACGAUUAAUUAUCUCGUCGAUACAAAUUCAAUAUUAUCCGAAGACAAUCUUGAUAUAACAUCUUUGAUAGAUAAUAAGGAUUCGAAUCAUACUAAUUCAGAAAAUUUAAGCAAUCCUAUUGUCGUAAAUUGCAAUGACAAUGGAAAUGCUGAUAAAGUAGAAGAAACACACGAUAACGAAGCAUCCGAUAACGAAGCACCGAAUAAUGACAAUUUGACAAUUACUCUUGAAAAUCCUCCUGAAAUCAAUCCUUUGUUUGAUCUCGAAUUAGAAAAGGGUGAUCUGUAUCUAGUACAAAACAGGAAAAAUUCUAAUGAAAUGGAAGAAUUAUUUCUAGAACUAACGGCCGACGAUAUAAAGGAAAGAGAUACUACAAGUGGAAUAGUCAGAAAUUCUUGGUCGGCAGCAUCUGUUCUAUCGUGCGUAUUAGGAAGAGGUGAAAUACCUAUGGUGGACAUUAUAUUCGAUACGAAACGUAAAGAUAAACAGAACAGAAGAUAUUUUAUAGAAUUGGAAGACGCAAAAAAAAUCGUGUCAACGAUCAGUGAAAAGAUGAGUGCACACCCUAUACUAUUAAAAGUUUAUAAAUGCAUGAAGUGUUCGACGCAUUUCUCGGAUGACGAGGAACAUGCAGCUAUCAUUCUUAGAUCUGCAAUUGGUAUGAAGCAAUUGAAAUGUCCUACUUGCGCGAGUACAUUAGUUAUAGAGAUGAAUGAAUUUUCCGAAAUGCAUUCUAAAAGUGAAGAAACUCCAGCGCACAAAAACAAUAAAUCUAUGGAAAUGUCUGAAAUAAUUAAUUUGCAACAUUCUGAAUCUACUUCUAGUAUCGGCUCAGCAACUAGUUUAGAAGAAUCAAGAGAAUCCACGCCUUCGAUAAGUGCCAUAAUUAAAAAGUACGAAAGUGAUAUAGAAAUUCUUAGUAAUCCAAGUCAAAGUAGUAUCGAAGUUUUGGACGAAGCUUCAAAAGCUAAUUUAACUCCUAAUAGGAAGAGAUCGUCGGAAGAAAGAUCCGUAAGCAUUGCUCCUUCGCUUUUAACAGUUACGGAUGCAAUUGGUCCGGUUAUGGUUGGAUUAACUGAAAGUAGUUCUUCAGGUUCUUUAACUGAUAGCAUCUGCACAGCGUACGAAAAUAGAAACGUUAAAAAAUGUAAUAAUAACGAAAUCAAUUCUGGAAAAGAACCUGUACCCGUAGCAAAUAUAUCUACGAUGCUUGGAGAACUUUUACAAAGUAUCAAAAUAGGAAGUAAUAAAUCUUUACUAAUAAAGACUGAGGAAGAAAUAAACUCUUUAAAUAGCAGCGUGCAAUAUUCUUAUACGGAUUUCAGUAGUGUUGAUCAUAGAGUGAAGCUUCAUAUCAUUCUAAACGUCUUUGAACACGAAAGCGAAGAACUUGCUCUUCUUCUUAGGGCCGAUAUAUUGAUGCACGGUCUAAAGGAAGUAUUUCCAGGAUGUUUAGUUUUAUCUACAUCGAAGGUUUAUAUCCUUAAAAUUGAUGGACCAGAAGGGGAGGACCCUCAGCGUUGGUUACACAAAGAAUGUAGCUGGACAAUAGAUAAAUUGAGAUCUAUUGCUGCAUUGCCUUUUAAACAAGGCGUUCUAGUAGAGUUACAACAGUCAAUAACAAUGAACGAAGAGUACGUCAGCAUUGGUUUAUUAUGCAUAUUACAAGAUUUUCAGAGAACAUCGAAUUUUUUAUUUUAUAUAACAGACCCUCCGCUACCUGCUAGUUGCGAAGUCGAAUUUUCUGUACCAGAACAUUGCAGUACUUUAAUGCACAGUUUAUUAUCAGGUAUUAAAAAAGAUGAAAAUGGUGAUGAUACUGUUAGAAUUCUAGCGCUCUUUUCUUCUGCGGUACUGAAAUGUCAUAAUAAUACUAUGAUGACCAAGUACUCUGGACUCUUAAUAACAGCAUCUACCUUAAUAAUAUUAGAGGAUAAUAUGCAAUGGCUUUUACCAAAUACUAAAGUAGUGCCAGUAAUAUUAAAAGAACAAACUAUGAGUAAUUUAAUGGGAAUCGAACGCUGCGAUACGAUGUUGGUUUUAAAUUUCCUAAACGAGAUUGCAGGCUCGGAAGAAACAUGGAGCUUGGAGUUUAUUUCUGUAGGUGCUGCCGAGGCUGUCAUUAAUUCAAUACAAUCGCCAUGGGAAGAACUGUUUUCAGUACCCCUCCAAGUUACUACCAAAUCAAUACUAGAUAGUGACAAAUCUUAAAAAAGGUUGUUUCUAUUGACUAAUCUUUGAUUGAUAAUAAUAAGCUGUGCCACAAAAUAUGAUGGAGAGAUUUUCAAUUGAAAUGCGUAUAAAAGUAAUCAUGAAUCAUUAGGAUUACACAAGAAAUUUUCUACUAAUUGACAAAUUCUUCUAGUUUCAAUUUUAAACGCGUAAAAGUCAAACGUUCACACAUAAAGUCACAAAUAUAUAACUUGAAAUAUUUUUACUAUCAACUUUCUAACUUCUUCAUAUUUUUUUGCAUUAUUGAUAAUCUAUUAUACUUGUCCAGAGAUUCAUAAAAUAAGGCGAUGUGGUAUUUAUCUUAAUACAUUAGACAAUGAAAUCAAAUAUCGUAGCGUCAGUUGCAUUUGAUAUUUUUUAUGGAAAUAUUGCACAAGCGUAGGUAACGAUGAUUGGAAAAGUUGAUCGAGUUUUUUUCUCUUGUAACAUAACAAAUUUUAUUAUUAUUUAUAAUUGAUAGAUAUUUACAUCUUGAGAAUUGAGCACUAUUUAUAAAGGGAACAACAAACUAACUAUACUGUACUAUACUAUACUAUACUAUAUACAUCUUAUUUUGUACAACUCAUUUGGCUGUGGUAUAUGUAAUAUUUUGAAGAUGUAACUAUAACUGUACAUAUAUCCUAAAAAUUAUUAAUACUAUAACUUAUUUUUAUACUCAGAAAUAUAAAAUCGGUAAUGUUCUCAAUUGACAAUCUUAUCAAUGCGUUGAUAUAAUUUCACUAAAUUAUAUCGUAAAAGAAGUGUUGGACUUGUGUCUUAGCGUAAAUGCAAUAUAAUACCUCGAUCUUACGCAAAAAUGUUUGAAUAUAUGCGUAGGCGUUAAAUCAUUACCCUGGAAGGGAGAGCGCAUUACCUUCAACAAAGAUAAGUACGAUCCAACAAUACCAUCAUCAUGAAAGAUUUUGGAAGACUGUGCAAAAUUUUAUUUACAUUGGGAAAGAAUCAGAGAUAUAAAUAUCCUAUCAAAAAAUACGAAAAAGGAAUGCCUCUUAAUUAUUACAAAUUUCAACAUCACUUUGAAAUACAUUUUAAUGGGCAGUUCAAUUCUUCACGUGUACAAAAUGUAUUGUCGAACAUUGUACUGGGUAAUUGAAAACAUUAUUAUGCAUUGACUGACAUUUAAUAAUAUAAAGAAAACUACUUUUUUUUAUCUAAGAGAUUGUCAUAGCAACAAUGUCGUUGAUAUAAAUGAUUGAAAAAAUGUCUUACUAGCACAAUACUAAAAAGUUAGAGAAUAAAAUUAACAGAAAAUCAAAUUCAA